UAGGUCCUGAAAAAACAACAGGUUUCCUUGAUUUUGGCUCCAAACAGCUUCAUCAUUUGGAUUUGGAAAUAGUUUCUUUCAAACAAUUAAAGCCAAAAUAAUACAAAUACAAAGUCAUAUCAAACAGGAUAAUUAGUCAUAAACUUGUUUCCAUUCAUGUUCUAAAGGCUCCGCCCACUGUUAAUGAUUUCUCAGGAUGUGACAUCAAGUUCUUCUUCUGUGGUGUUUUGUGGAGUUACUUCCUGUUUUCCUAGAGAGACCCUAAGAACUCAGUCUGACUUCUUUCUGUGCAUUCCAGUUGCUGUCUCUGGAGAUUUUGAGGUAACUGACCAAACACUUCAAAGUAUUCAUUCCUGCUGAUGGCGGCUGGCAGUGGAAUUACCGCCGGCGCGCUCCAAACCAACCGCUGCUGCGGUUUGAUGUUUUCCAUCCAGAAGCAUCAAAGUCCUUCAGUAUGAGCUCAAAGAGGCAGCAGGAAAAUCCAGAUUCUCCGUAGAAAAACGCCAUUUUAGCUGGAAAGUUCUCCAGUUUCCAUGGAUUCAUUCAAUGGACGGAUGUUGAUCAAACCUUUUAUCGGCGCCGAGCGGCGGAGAAGAUCUGCUCUUCUGCUCAGAAGGUCUCCACAAAAAGCAGCUUGGACUCCACAGAUCCAGACGGAGAAACAGCAGAAAACAGCCGGUAAAAGUUCAGUCUGGGUUUGUUUCACCUUCCUUCUGGUCCUUUCAGAUUCCGGGUCUGCAGAUGAGCCUGAAGAAGAGCAAAGAAAAAACUGAAAAGUGCAAAAGUAUUCAGCACGUAAAUACUUUUUGUAAUCCCUUUUGGUUCAAUUCCAGCUGCCAGUCUUUAGUUCUAGAUCUUUCCCAGCUUUACACAUCUGAAAUGUAUAGAUUUGAAGCUUACAUUGAUAUUUCACAUCACUU
rnacentral:lncRNA from 1 species